ACUCACUGUCCUCUGCCUUCUUUAACAACGACUCCAUUUCGUUUUUCUGCUCAAUUUUCUCAAACCUUUUUAGGAUUUUGGUCAAAAGAGGAUGACCUUUAAUGGAGCCUCCAAUUGGGAACAAGUUCUGUAUCGGUCGAAAAAUCUGUGUUGCAUAUUUGCCCGAAGGCUUUUUUAUUGUGUUUUAUUUCCAUUUUUUGCCUUAAACUAGUGGUAUACUAUGUUGCAUAUUUGCCCGAAGGCUUUUUUUAUUGUGUUUUCUUUUAUGCUUGUUCUAAGAUCUUGGUAAUUCGGGAGGUGGGAAGUCUAGCUGUAAUUUGAUUUCAAACAGUUAUAAGGUGAUGCAUGAAGUUCAACAACCUAGUACCAGAAAAAGUCAGCAAGAUAGAAGUGAUUUUUUCUCGAGUACAAAUACUAGUGCUCUCUACAAGCCUUUUGCAGCUUCAUCUACAGGAAUGAAGAGACUGUCUCCAUAUGGUAAUUCUGCUGUUGAUGCUUAUCCCAAAAAGAUGAGGGCUGUUAUAAAUAAAAGUGAGUAUGAAAGAUCCAAAGUGGUUCCGACAGCCCAAAAGUGGCAGGUAAGGACAAUAGCAACUGAAGGAAUUAUUUCAUCAUAUAAAUGCUAAAGAGUGGUUGUCUGGAGUCAAUGUAGGUGAGUCUCCAUGGAUUCUUGAGGGUAUUGGAGUUCCGUGACACUCUUCUGGCAGCCCUGCAUGAUGACGGAUUUGCUGAUGUUGACUCUGAAAGUAGCAACCCUUUAUUUAUCAAGAAUUUUGAGGACUCUAUUUUGUAUGAGACUAUGAGUGAUACAUGGGCUUAUGUAGCUGUCUAAACAAUUAUUGCUUACCGCCGCUCUAUUUUAUCUUUGCCCAUUGUAGGAUAAUAAAUGAACUUUUGAUAUUUCUAUCAUGGUUGUAGCUGUAUCGUUGUACUUUUAAAAUCAUAAUUUGUUUUUCAUACCCCUCAUAUUUCUCUUUAUCAUGUGCGAUGGUGUAACAGUGCUCUGAGUUAUUUCUACUUUCUUUUACUUGAGGGACAGAGGAUAGUCUUUUUUAUCUUUUGGCUGCAUUCCCCUUGU